CACAUGCAAGUCGAGCGGUAACAGGGGUAGCUUGCUACCCGCUGACGAGCGGCGGACGGGUGAGUAAUGCAUAGGAAUCUGCCCGAUAGUGGGGGAUAACCUGGGGAAACCCAGGCUAAUACCGCAUACGUCCUACGGGAGAAAGGGGGCUUCGGCUCGCGCUAUCGGAUGAGCCUAUGUCGGAUUAGCUAGUUGGUGGGGUAAUGGCCCACCAAGGCGACGAUCCGUAGCUGGUCUGAGAGGAUGAUCAGCCACAUCGGGACUGAGACACGGCCCGAACUCCUACGGGAGGCAGCAGUGGGGAAUAUUGGACAAUGGGGGCAACCCUGAUCCAGCCAUGCCGCGUGUGUGAAGAAGGCCUUCGGGUUGUAAAGCACUUUCAGCGAGGAAGAACGCCAGGGRAUUAAUACCYCCCUGGAAAGACAUCACUCGCAGAAGAAGCACCGGCUAACUCCGUGCCAGCAGCCGCGGUAAUACGGAGGGUGCAAGCGUUAAUCGGAAUUACUGGGCGUAAAGCGCGCGUAGGUGGCUUGAUAAGCCGGUUGUGAAAGCCCCGGGCUCAACCUGGGAACGGCAUCCGGAAC
rnacentral:rRNA from 1 species